rnacentral:lncRNA from 1 species
AUAGGAAAGUGCUACAAGCAGCAAGCCAGGACUGGUUGUACUGUAUGGUAGAAAUGUGCUAGUGAAAAAAAAUGAAGGGCAGAGAGAUUAGCUUUCUUUCUUUUGUAUUUCUUAGUCAUGGGAAUCUGUGUCAAGGAAGGAGAUUUCAAAAGCUUUUGAACAAGAAGAGAGAGGAUGAAUGACAUGACUGCGCAGCAGAAAUGGAACACCACUUUCCAAUCUCAGACGGCUACUAACCAAAACCUCAUUAUUCCUUCAAAGAUGGCUUGUCUCACUCUCCUUCAAGUUUUCUUCUGGUACCUGCACUGAGCAUCAGGAAUCUGCUUUUGUUUGAAGACAAGAAAUUGAUGUCUUCAGUCCAUUUUUUGGCUGACUUCACUGUCCUUACUCAUUGGGUCAGCUAGACACACUCCUGUAUCCAUGUUUACACAAGGUUUCAAGAACUCAUCUCUGAGCAGCAUUCAUCAUUUCCUGGAAGAAGGAAUGGAUAAUGUUUAAGGAUAAAAAUAAUGAAAUCAUGAUGGGAGCUGGAUUACUUUAAUGAAGGAAAACAAAAAUAUCUCCAUAAGAGAGAUCUUAAUAUUUUUUCGUUUGUUUCUGUUUCUAUGACAUUCAGGAAAUAUUAGUAUCACAGCCACUUCCUAGUGAUAAUUACCC